CCUUUCUCUGGACCUCAGGACCUUAACUCCUCUCCUUCCAAGGAGUAACGUGUCACAAACCACAGGGCAGAUAUGAUAAACGUUUGUCUGGUACAGCACCAAACUCGUGUGGGAUGGGGAAGGAGAGCUCAGGAUCCGCUCUCCAGCCCAGGGAGAGCUCCGUGUGUCCCUCCUGUGCUGCCACCAGCCGGUGCCACCAGCUGCACCAGCUCUGCCCUGCCUGGCCUCUGCUGAGCCAUAGCGAUUCCUUCUGUGCGAGGAAGAGCUGAGCUGUGAACACCCCCGGCAUUACUUUGAAAUCAGUCCCCAAACUGCUCUCAGCCAGCUCCACACAGAGUGGGAUUAUCUCUCCAGGUGCCGGGUCCUACAGGGCUGUGAGCAGAGCCGUGGGGCUGUGCUCCACUGACCCACGGGAUGGGGCAGCUCUGGAACAGGGCAGGACACAACCCGGCAGCCUUUCUGCUUUGGGAACACUUAAACCUGCUGAACCGCUGCUGUGCUGAGCCCAACAGAGCGAUGCUGCUUAACUGGAGCUUUUCAUGUGCCGUGGAGCUGGUGCGUGUCAGGAGGAGCCGGAGGAUGCUUAGGAC